UGGUGGAGUGAUUUGUCUGGUUAAUUCCGUUAACGAACGAGACCUCGACCUGCUAAAUAGUUCUGCGAACUUCUUUGUUCGACAGAACUUCUUAGAGGGACUAUCGGUGUGUAGCCGAUGGAAGUUCGAGGCAAUAACA
rnacentral:rRNA from 1 species